rfam:Nematostella vectensis strain CH2 x CH6 NEMVEscaffold_251_Cont20854, whole genome shotgun sequence.
GACUCCGUAUCGCAAUGGUAGCGCGUCUGACUCCAGAUCAGAAGGUUGCGUGUUCAAAUCACGUCGGGGUCA